UACGAAGGGGGCUAGCGUUGCUCGGAAUCACUGGGCGUAAAGCGCACGUAGGCGGCUUUUUAAGUCAGGGGUGAAAUCCUGGAGCUCAACUCCAGAACUGCCUUUGAUACUGAGAAGCUCGAGUCCGGGAGAGGUGAGUGGAACUGCGAGUGUAGAGGUGAAAUUCGUAGAUAUUCGCAAGAACACCAGUGGCGAAGGCGGCUCACUGGCCCGGUACUGACGCUGAGGCACGAAAGCGUGGGGGAGCAAACAGG
rnacentral:rRNA from 1 species